GCUGGCUGACCAGUGGCUGUUAUUUAUGUGUCAUGUGGGAAAAACAAAAGGGUUCGGGCACCUCACGUCAGAGAAUCGGGGAAAAAAGAGCUCCCUUGCGCGAUCUGGCAUUGAGAACUUUUCCCGAUUGCAGGCCCUUUUGUUUUCAUAACUUUCGCUGUGGAUAUUUAUGGGAAACCAGAGAGAAAACUCCACGUUCGAUGGUCAGCCUGAAGGGGUUGUCCUUGCAGGAGGGAAAAAUCUGCCCAGCAUCAGAUGCUGUUUGUCGAGCAGGAAACUCGGAGAUUUUCUUUACUUAAAAUGAAAAUUAAUUUUGUGGCUUCCCUGUGAUUUUCUUGAUUUAAAAAUAAAUGAAAUUAAAAUUUA